UACAGAGGUCCCAAGCGUUGUUCGGAUUCACUGGGCGUAAAGGGUGCGUAGGUGGUCGGGUAAGUCUGAUGUGAAAGCUCUGGGCUCAACCCAGAAAUGGCAUUGGAUACUAUCUGGCUAGAGGAAUGGAGGGGGGACUGGAAUACUUGGUGUAGCAGUGAAAUGCGUAGAUAUCAAGUGGAACACCAGUGGCGAAGGCGGGGUCUCUGGACAGUUCCUGACGCUGAGGCACGAAGGCCAGGGGAGCAAACGGG
rnacentral:rRNA from 1 species